ACGGUUCAAAUGUCACAGUUUGGAGAAAAACUAUAAUUCAACAGAAUUUACAGUAUUUAAGAAUCUGAUUGCUCAUUUACUUUUGUAAAUCAUUCUGGUAAUAUUUAAAUAUUUCACAAUACAGUAUAUCAAUCAGUAUAUGUGUGAAGGUGUCUCUUUGCGUUCAAUAAAUCAGAAGUGAAAGAGACCAAUAUGAAAUAGCGCAAUUUUUUGUCUUGUAUGCAGUGCAGCGACCGACUCAUUUGAAAGAAUGAGUGAAUGGGUGAGUAAAUGAAUAAAUAAAUAAAUAAAUGCUAACAAAUAUGAUGUGUACUCAUGCUGCUCACCAGGCAAUAAUUAUUGCACACUUAACACAUUUCUUUUAUGUGGGAACGUUCUCUGGAGUUUAUUUUACAGAAAUAAUUUCCAUUCGCUUUAUUAAAGGUUAUGUAUUAUUAAAUAAAAUUGUUUUAACAUUCGGAUAAAAUCGAAAGCUGAACUAUAUUUUGUUCGACACCGUUGUCAUAGUAGCAUUACCAGCCACAGUUGAAAUACAAAUGCAAUGAUAUUGUCGCGUAUGCUUUUUGCGAUAGAGAUUCUAUUUGGUUACAUCUAAAUUACAGAUACCUAUAUACUUUUGAUGUUUUCUGCAACAUUCAUUACCUGUCGUAACAACAAGGAUUUACUCUAAAUCCUACAAUGCCACUUGAUGUGAAAAAUGAAGGAGGAUUAAAGGUACACAACAAAACAAAACUUGAAACUAUUUUGCAUGGAAAUACACAGACACUGUUAACACAGCCUUCAAAAAGUGCAGCGAAAGAAUCCCAAAAUGCAAAACUCAGAGAUACUGAACAAACUGGUUAUGCACCAAAAUUUGCUAAUUCUAAGGUAGAUAAUCAGUAUCUAUCCUCAGAGCUUUCAAAAUCUACAUUUAAUGCAGCUGAUAAUGAGGAUGACGUUUUUGAAAGGAAAGUUCAAACAAUUGAACCUUCUCCAGAGGCUUCUGCUGUUAGCCAAAGCACACAAAGUUCUCAGCUAUUGAUGCAGAGGAUUUCAACUUCAUCAAAUGCAGUUGUUGAGUCUGAAACUAUGGCUCCCUAUACACUCCUUAAAGAGAAUACAGGCUAUACAACUAGAAAAAAGAAGAUUCAUCAGCAGGUUGAACAGUGGUAUUCUAUGUAUAUUUUCUUAAAAUGCACUUCAGUACUGGGGCAUACCAAGAUACCAGAACACCUAGAUCUCUACCAGGAAAUGCUCGACACUAUACAAAUGUUAGUAAAAAAAGGAAAAAAUUUAAAAGUUGAUGGAAAUACAGACAUGAAUGUUUCAGACUUCAGAGAAUUUAAAGAAAAAUAUGAUAAUCUUUUAGAUAAGGAAUAUGAGAUGAAACAGGAAAUACAUUCAAUACUUAAUUUCAAUGAAAUGAAAAAGAAAAAGCACCAUGAAAAUAUUUACAGACAAUGGACAAAAAAAGUAUAUAAUCCUCUGUCUAAAAAAGUACAAGAAAAUGUUCAAAGCUCUCCCUGGUCAUCUACAUGUCGCAAGAAACAUGAGAUGUACAAAAAUUAUUUAAAAUAUGUUAACACUAAGGGCUGUGCUUAUCUUGAUACUGCUGACCCAGAGGAAUAUUCAAUAUAUCCCUACCCUAACAAAGUUCCUGGAAAGGUUAAUGUGACUGAUCCAGAUAAUCCUCUACACUUCACUUCACAGCAAUAUGAUGAAGAAUUGCAAGUGAUUCUGUCUCUCUUAACAGGUAAAAAUUACAGUAGGAAUGAUAUUGAGAAUCUCAAGCUGUUCUCUCGUCCUGAUAGCUCAUCAAGUCGACAGAAGAUGGAUGCUACAAAAUGGUUGCUAAUGCCUGAAAACAACAUUUUAAGUACACCACGGACAGCUAGUAGGAAAGGAGUGAUCAACUAUAAAAACUGAAAGAAAAAUAUUUUAUAAGAAUUUCAAAUCUAAAGCUAAACUGGAAAUAGUCAGCACCACUACUAAAAACAACAGCUUCUCUACAGAUUACCUUAUAACAUGUGUGUUUGAAACAGCAUAAAGCCCUUAUACGACAUGAAAACUUCCUUCCAUAAGACGGAAGAUACAUGCAGGCCGGUACAAUAAGAGCAUGCUGAGUGAGUCCUGUUGACUAAAUACAAAAACAUAGAAAACCAGAGACUUUUUUCUUUACAGAACAAUAGACUGGAAGAGAUCUGAAUUCUAUUUUUAUCUGAAUGAACAGUAUCAUAGGACACAAUCUACUCCAGUCCAAUGCUUGUUAAGCAAAUAUAGAUAUUGAUCAACACUCAUUGACUUGGAUAUUUUCACAAUCUAAAGGAAUUUUCUAGUUCACAUCUUUUAAGAUGAUACUUUUAUGAGUUUUCAGAAUGAUUUCUAACAUAGGUGCAAGACCA
rnacentral:misc_RNA from 1 species